GUCUUCUAAAUGCCUGGGUAAAUCCGUAUGGCUUAACCAUACCGAAUUCCGGGUAGACUGUUAGACUUUGAGACCGGGAGAAGCUAGAGGUACUCCUGGGGUAGAGGUGAAAUUCUGUAAUCCUAGGGGGACGACCAGUGGCGAAGGCGUCUAGCUAGAACGGGUCUGACGGUGAGGGACGAAGCCCUGGGGCGCAAACGGGAUUAGAUACCCCGGUAGUCCAGGGUGUAAACGCUGCUUGCUUGAUGUUAGUCUGGCUCCGAGCCAGAUUAGUGUCGGAGAGAAGUUGUUAAGCAAGCUGCCUGGGAAGUACGGCCGCAAGACUGAAACUUAAAGGAAUUGGCGGGGGAGCACAGCAACGGGUGGAGCGUGCGGUUUAAUUGGAUUCAACGCCGGAAAGCUCACCGGAGGCGACGGUUACAUGAAGGCCAAGCUGAUGACUUUGCCUGAUUUUCCGAGAGGUGGUGCAUGGCCGCCGUCAGUUCGUACCGUAAGGCGUUCUGUUAAGUCAGACAACGAACGAGACCCUCAUCUUUAAUUGCUACUGGUAAGUUCGCUUAUCAGGCACAUUAACGAAACCGCUGGCGAUAAGUCAGAGGAAGGCGAGGGCAACGGUAGGUCAGUAUGCCCUGAAUCCUCCGGGCUACACGCGCGUACAAAGGCUAGGACAAUGAGAUUCGACACCGAAAGGUGAAGGUAACCUCGAAACCUAGUUAUAGUUCGGAUCGAGGGUUGAAACUCACCCUCGUGAAGCUGGAAUCCGUAGUAAUCGCGGA
rnacentral:rRNA from 1 species